rnacentral:vault_RNA from 2 species
AUGCCAGUUUAGCUGAGUGGUUUCUUCUUAUGGACAUACACCUUCAGGUAUCAAUCCGCAGGUGCUCUCUGGCGUUUUU